rnacentral:rRNA from 1 species
CACGUAGGGGGCAAGCGUUGUCCGGAUUUAUUGGGCGUAAAGAGCGCGCAGGCGGUCGAUCAAGUCGCGUGUGAAAGCCCCCGGCUCAACUGGGGAGGGUCACGCGAUACUGAUCGACUCGAAGGCAGGAGAGGGAUGCGGAAUUCCAGGUGUAGCGGUGAAAUGCGUAGAUAUCUGGAGGAACACCGGUGGCGAAGGCGGCAUCCUGGACCGAUACUGACACUGAGGAGCGAAAGCCAGGGGAGCAAACGGG